rnacentral:rRNA from 1 species
GAUGAACGCUGGCGGCGUGCCUAAUACAUGCAAGUCGAGCGAACAGACGAGGAGUUUGCUCCUCUGAAGUUAGCGACGGACGGGUGAGUAACACGUGGAUAACCUACCUAUAAGACUGGGAUAACUUCGGGAAACCGGAGAUAAUACCGGAUAAUAUAUUGAACGGCAUGGUUCAAUAGUGAAAGACGGUUUUGCUGUCACUUAUAGAUGGAUCCGGGCCGGAUUAGCUAGUUGGUAGGGUAACGGCCUACCAAGGCGACGAUGCGUAGCCGGUCUGAGAGGAUGAUCAGUCACACUGGAACUGAGACACGGUCCAGACUCCUACGGGAGGCAGCAGUGGGGAAUAUUCGGCAAUGGGCGAAAGCCUGAUCCAGCCAUGCCGCGUGUGUGAAGAAGGUCUUCGGAUUGUAAAGCACUGUAAGUUGGGAGGAAGGGCAGUGAGUUAAUACCUUGCUGUUUUGACGGUACCAACAGAAUAAGCCCCGGCUAACUUCGUG